rnacentral:rRNA from 1 species
UUUGAUUAUGGCUCAAGACGAACGCCUGGCGGCGUGCUUAACACAUGCAAGUCGAACGAUGAAGCGGUGCUUGCACCGUGGAUUAGUGGCGAACGGGUGAGUAAUACGUGAGUGACCUACCUUUGACUCUGGGAUAAGCCUGGGAAACUGGGUCUAAUACCGGAUACGACCAAUCUCUGCAUGGGGUGUUGGUGGAAAGCGUUAUGGAGUGGUUUUAGAUGGGCUCACGGCCUAUCAGCUUGUUGGUGAGGUAAUGGCUUACCAAGGCGACGACGGGUAGCCGGCCUGAGAGGGUGACCGGCCACACUGGGACUGAGACACGGCCCAGACUCCUACGGGAGGGCAGCAGUGGGGAAUAUUGCACAAUGGGCGCAAGCCUGAUGCAGCGACGCCGCGUGAGGGAUGACGGCCUUCGGGUUGUNAACCUCUGUUAGCAUCGAAGAAGCGAAAGUGACGGUAGGUGCAGAGAAAGCGCCGGCUAACUACGUGCCAGCAGCCGCGGUAAUACGUAGGGCGCGAGCGUUGUCCGGAAUUAUUGGGCGUAAAGAGCUUGUAGGCGGUUGGUCGCGUCUGCUGUGAAAGGCCGGGGCUUAACUCCGGUUUUGCAGUGGGUACGGGCUAACUAGAGUGCAGUAGGGGAGACUGGAAUUCCUGGUGUAGCGGUGGAAUGCACAGAUAUCAGGAGGAACACCGAUGGCGAAGGCAGGUCUCUGGGCUGUAACUGACGCUGAGAAGCGAAAGCAUGGGGAGCGAACAGGAUUAGAUACCCUGGUAGUCCAUGCCGUAAACGUUGGGCACUAGGUGUGGGGGACAUUCCACGUUUUCCGCGCCGUAGCUGACGCAUUAAGUGCCCCGCCUGGGGAGUACGGCCGCAAGGCUAAAACUCAAAGGAAUUGACGGGGGCCCGCACAAGCGGCGGAGCAUGCGGAUUAAUUCGAUGCAACGCGAAGAACCUUACCAAGGCUUGACAUGCAUUAGAUCGCGUCAGAGAUGGCGUUUCCCUUCGGGGCUGGUGUACAGGUGGUGCAUGGUUGUCGUCAGCUCGUGUCGUGAGAUGUUGGGUUAAGUCCCGCAACGAGCGCAACCCUCGUUCUAUGUUGCCAGCGGUUCGGCCGGGGACUCAUAGGAGACUGCCGGGGUCAACUCGGAGGAAGGUGGGGAUGACGUCAAAUCAUCAUGCCCCUUAUGUCUUGGGCUUCACGCAUGCUACAAUGGCCGGUACAGAGGGUUGCGAUACUGUGAGGUGGAGCUAAUCCCUUAAAGCCGGUCUCAGUUCGGAUUGGGGUCUGCAACUCGACCCCAUGAAGUCGGAGUCGCUAGUAAUCGCAGAUCAGCAACGCUGCGGUGAAUACGUUCCCGGGCCUUGCACACACCGCCCGUC